AGAGCGAACGUUAGCGGCAGGCCUAACACAUGCAAGUCGCACGAGAAUUCGGCUUCGGCCGAUAGUAAAGUGGCGGACGGGUGAGUAACACGUGGAUAAUCUGCCCUUCGGCGGGGGACAACAGUCCGAAAGGAUUGCUAAUACCGCGUACGUCUGCGAUGCCCUCGGGUGUUGCAGGGAAAGACGGCCUCUUCAUGAAAGCUGUCACCGAAGGAUGAGUCCGCGGCCCAUCAGCUAGUUGGCGGGGUAAUGGCCCACCAAGGCUUAGACGGGUAGCUGGUCUGAGAGGAUGAUCAGCCGGAUUGGGACUGAGAUACGGCCCAGACUCCUACGGGGGGCAGCAAUUAGGAAUCUUGCACAAUGGGCGAAAGCCUGAUGCAGCGACGUCGCGUGGGGACGAAAUCUUUCGGGAUGUAAACCCUUUUGAGUGGGAAGAAACAAUGACGGUACCACUCGAAUAAGCCCCGGCUAACUACGUGCCAGCAGCCGC
rnacentral:rRNA from 1 species